GCCCAUGUAGUUCAGUUGGUAGAACACUUGACUACUGAUUCAGGGGGCCUAGGUUCUAAUCCUAGUAUGGUCA